GAUGAACGCUGGCGGCGUGCCUCAAACAUGCAAGUCGAACGGACGAGUGAGAUAAGUUUACUUAACUCACAAGUUAGUGGCGGACGGGUGAGUAACACGUGGAUAAUCUACCUGCAACACCGGGAUAACGCUGUGAAAACGGUGCUAAUACCGGAUACGUUCCCUUGUGCGCAUGUAUGAGGGAAGAAAGCUCAGGCGGUUGCAGAUGAGUCCGCGGCUGAUUAGCUAGUUGGUGAGGUAAAGGCUCACCAAGGCGAUGAUCAGUAGCCGGCCUGAGAGGGUGAACGGCCACACUGGGACUGAGACACGGCCCAGACUCCUACGGGAGGCAGCAGUGGGGAAUCUUCCGCAAUGGGCGCAAGCCUGACGGAGCAACGCCGCGUGGGUGAAGAAGGCCUUCGGGUUGUAAAGCCCUGUCUUAUGGGAAGAAGUCAGUGACGGUACCAUAGGAGGAAGCCACGGCUAACUACGUG
rnacentral:rRNA from 1 species